UUUCCUCUCCAGUCCAGUCAGCUACUGAGACAGCGUAGGGCCACAACCUCUUACUGCUCGACGUCAAAACCCGACACAGUACCAGUUCUAGCCAAAGUCCGAUAUUGAAAAUUUGGAAGAACAAGCUGAUCGGCUUUAACCAUCUUCACAAGCACUACUUGAGCAGGAGCAGUUUCACAGUGAUACCUUGCUGACGGGGUUUGAUGCUGCAGUAACCCUAGAUCUGCCUACAGCACCAUCUGAGAAGUGGUGCGGUACUUAUUCCUACACUGAUCCUCUCAGAAAGCCCUCCAGCAUGGUUGACUACAUGUGAAGCAGCAGUGUUCUGGAGCCGAACAGGGAGAAGAGAGGAUUUAUCUAACACAAGCAGACCAGCAUAGAGACAUGUCAUCCAACAGGGGCCAGAACACCCAUGGGCUCAAACAGAUUGGGCUGGACCAAAUCUGGGAUGACCUGAGAGCAGGAAUACAGCAGGUCUAUACACGCCAGAGCAUGGCCAAGUCACGCUACAUGGAACUCUACACACAUGUGUAUAACUACUGUACAAGCGUACACCAGUCUAACCAGGCCAGGGGUGCUGGCAUCCCCCCUUCCAAACCCUCCAAAAAAACUGCCACG